rnacentral:rRNA from 1 species
GAUGAACGCUAGCUACAGGCUUAACACAUGCAAGUCGAGGGGAAACGACAUCGAAAGCUUGCUUUUGAUGGGCGUCGACCGGCGCACGGGUGAGUAACGCGUAUCCAAUCUGCCCACCACUUGGGGAUAACCUUGCGAAAGUAAGACUAAUACCCAAUGAUAUCUCUAGAAGACAUCUGAAAGAGAUUGAAGAUUUAUCGGUGAUGGAUGGGGAUGCGUCUGAUUAGCUUGUUGGCGGGGUAACGGCACACCAAGGCAACGAUCAGUAGGGGAUCUGAGAGGAAGGUCCCCCGCAUUGGAGCUGAGACACGGACCACACUCCUACGGGAGGCAGCAGUGAGGAAUAUUGGUCAAUGGACGAGAGUCUGACCCAGCCAAGUAGCGUGCAGGAAGACGGCCCUAUGGGUUGUAAACUGCUUUUAUAAGGGAAUAAAGUGAGUCUCGUGAGACUUUUUGCAUGUACCUUAUGAAUAAGGACCGGCUAAUUCCGUG